rnacentral:rRNA from 1 species
GUGCCAGCAGCCGCGGUAAUACGGAGGGUGCAAGCGUUGUCCGGAUUUACUGGGUGUAAAGGGCGUGUAGGCGGAGAGAUAUGUCGGAAGUGAAAUCGUGCGGCUUAACCGUAGCAAUUGCUUCCGAAACGGUCUCCCUUGAGUGCGAGAGGGGCAGAUGGAAUUCCUGGUGUAGCGGUGGAAUGCGUAGAUAUCAGGAAGAACACCGGUGGCGAAGGCGAUCUGCUGGCUCGUAACUGACGCUGAGGCGCGAAAGUGUGGGGAGCAAACAGGAUUAGAAACCCCAGUAGUCC